AUGAACGCUGGCGGCGUGCCUAAUACAUGCAAGUCGAGCGAACGGACGAGAAGCUUGCUUCUCUGAUGUUAGCGGCGGACGGGUGAGUAACACGUGGAUAACCUACCUAUAAGACUGGGAUAACUUCGGGAAACCGGAGCUAAUACCGGAUAAUAUUUUGAACCGCAUUGUUCAAAAGUGAAAGACGGUCUUGCUGUCACUUAUAGAUGGAUCCGCGCUGCAUUAGCUAGUUGGUAAGGUAACGGCUUACCAAGGCAACGAUGCAUAGCCGACCUGAGAGGGUGAUCGGCCACACUGGAACUGAGACACGGUCCAGACUCCUACGGGAGGCAGCAGUAGGGAAUCUUCCGCAAUGGGCGAAAGCCUGACGGAGCAACGCCGCGUGAGUGAUGAAGGUCUUCGGAUCGUAAAACUCUGUUAUUAGGGAAGAACAUAUGUGUAAGUAACUGUGCACAUCUUGACGGUACCUAAUCAGAAAGCCACGGCUAACUACGUG
rnacentral:rRNA from 1 species